UAUAUAUAAAAUCUUAGAAGAAACAUCUGUACCUGUGAUAAAUCCAAGAAUCACAGGCAUGACUAUAUAUUAAACAAUUUAGAAAUUGUCAUAGAUAACCAAAGAAUAUGAUAGUUGCUGAUAUAUAAUAUUCAGAUGUAGGAAAUGUGCUGUGUACUGAACUAUAGAUAGAUCUCUAUGAGGUUCUUGAAUUUUAACUUUUAUGGAAAAGUCAAAGGAAAAGAACAGAAUCAUUAUGACAUUGAAAAAGUGUCAAAAGGAGAAGGGCCAGCUGGUAAAUCAUUCCAAGUCCUCAGAAAGCUUAUAUUCCUCAGUGGGGACCCAGGACAAGCCCACUGAUGGAUACAAUGUUUCUUGAUGGUAGACUUACAUUUUAAAAAUUCUCCUUCAUUAUUUUCAUGUUCCUCAGGGGAAGUCAGGCUCUGAUAGAAUUGGCUGGUGCUAACUAAAUCCACAAGAGCCUAUUGGUCAACCUGUUUGCCAAUUAACUAAUUUGGAGUGGAAAAAAAAAAUAGUGCUAUUAAGAAAUCUGGAAUGUUUGUGUUCUGUCAGAAUUUUUUCUCACCUGUGAAAACCUGCAAGGAAGUCAAACAAGGUCAGAACAAAGCUUGAUGGGUCAGAAUCCAAGGAGAUGUGGCAUUACAGAUAAUCAGCUGAAGUUGAAAUGAUUUGGACACUAUGUCUAGGUCCUUUUCAAAGGCUCAAAAGUGCAUUUUCGGUGGAAUUUUAAUGCACUGUGAUGAUGGGGCUCACGUCUGCAUAGAGAGUCUCACCUUUAAAUAAUGUUCUAAAGGUGUCUGGAAGUCCCCUUUUUACUAGAGCUUGCUAUUUUGGUCUGAAUUUUGAUGUUUGAUUCUAAAAUUUCUUUUUUAGCAAAGUCCUACCAAUACGUUUAAGAGAAGUCUCCCUCAUGAUAUUUAUCUAUCGGCUUUCACUUCUUUCUUUAAACACUGUUAUCUACUACCUGGGCCAAUGACCUUUACCUUUAUAUAAUUUGGAUCAUUAUGUGGCAGGGCGGAUGCCCUAGAAAGGCUGGAAUAUUGCACUCUAAUGCAACCGCGACACGUGGGUUCCAUUUUGCCAGCACUUAGCACGGUAACACUCCACUGGUAAGUAUGUUGGCAAUGGACGGACAGGAUUUCUGCUUGGUGGAUCCUUUCUUGGUUACAAGGAUCAAGUUAAAGAAGAAUAUUGAGCAAACUGAAAUUUCCAUAUCGCCUAUAGGCAAAAUUUGUGAGUUUGAAGUCAUGGUUCAAUUUAUGAGGACUGUCAGCUUUUAUCAAGAAGUAGAUACUGUGUUCUUCCUUUUCAUCUUCAUAUCUUUAGCAUCUAUCACAGUGUUUGGUAGGAGGUAAGUGAAGGAGAUAAUUCUUCGUGGAUUUCCCACAUGUCUACAGGUCUUGGGAGUAGACACGGACUCACUUAUUCUGAACUGGUUUUUAAAGUAUGUUUGUAGAGCAAACUGCCUUGGAAGAGUGAGAAAGUGUCUCUCCCAAGAGCAAUGUGCAUGCCUGGUUUCCCUCGGGUCCCUCUCAAAUGCUGACACUGCUAUUACUAUUGCUGUGAGUUAGGAAGUCCUUUCUCUCUGACCCAGGAGUCUCGUGACGUGUACCAGCUUCUGUGAAACUGUCAGGUUAGCUUAGCUUCAGACUAGGAGAAAGUCUCACUGAGAUCCUCGUUCUGGAGGGUAAGUGCUCAAAACCAAAACCGAACGAACAAGAUUAUUGAAUAGAUGAAUAAAAAAAAUUUAAGGGCUUAAUAUUAUUCCAGAUAAUCAACUACUACCCAGAGGAAGACCCCAAGAACUUCUGUUUGCCAGGAGUUAUUUCGCAAUGUAUUUUUGUCAAAGUACCAGUGUGUGCUAGUCAGCCCUAUGUUUAUUUUAGAUAUCAGUGUUGACUUUAAAAUGUUGGCAGCAGUAUGUUUGGACUUGGCUAAACAUGGGGUUGUACGAUGGGAACCAUUUAUUUAUUUAAGCAUUACCUAGUCAUAUAGGAACUACAGGCUUUGCAUAGUUUCUACUGGUUUCUGCAUUAGUGCCCCUAAUGGAGGAUACUAUAGUUUUGGUACACAGAGCUGAAAUUUUAUUCUCUCUUUCUAAAAAUAACCAAUGAAUUACCUUUAGAAAGUUGUUUGCAUUUGGAACCCAAAAACACUGACUUUGGUAUUUAUUUUUCCACUCGCUCCAGAAGUAAAUGGAUUUUUCCUCUGUUUUAGAAUGCCUGACAAACCUGAGCUUGGGAACACUUAACCCAGAGGAAGUGACCCAGGCUUUCUCCAUGGCAGAUGGCCAAGCUGCCACCUGCUCCCCUCCUGUUCAACAUGACUCCAAGAUCCUGGACCAAAGGCUGGUGCCAGGCAGCUGGGGACCCAGAGAGAAAAAAUGCUUUCCAAGGGUAAACAGUGAUUUAAGGUCAAUCACUCAUAAUUAGCUUAGAAAUUGCAUAGUGUGUCAGGAGGAUAAAACGUCAAGGAUCGAGGAGAAAGAGUUUUGCUUCUGGUCUGGGGCCCCUUUUCCUGGGACUCUGGGCAAGGCAUUCGACCUCUCUGAGUCUUGUUUUUCCCAACUAUAAAAUAACAAUAAUGAUAAUGGUGAUCAUGAUGAUAACACCUUCUCUGCCUAUAUAAUAACAUUGUUUUUAGCAUUACAUGGAAUAGCUCAAUUGUGUUACUAAGUGUGACAAUCAUAUAGCCCUUUUCUCUAUGUUUUGUUUAUGAAUUUAGAAGAGCCAAGACCAUAAAAGUCUACAUUAAUGGAGCUAUUGUUAGUCAAGAAUAUACUCUCCAUAUUCUUUUUGAAUUUUUGCUUCCCAUUUUUGAACUUAGCAAAAUAUCACUCUAAGGAUUAAAGCAAAUGUGACCUUGAAUGCUGUCCAUAUGUGAUUGAAAUAUUUAAAUCAUGACAAAACCUAUUCAUUUGGAGGAUAACUAAAUCACAGCUGCCAAAACCAAACCAGAAUCAAGUCACAUUGGAUAAACAUAUAUAACUUGUUAUUUCUUUCUGACUUACUAGAUUUUCUUAAAGGCAUUAGAACUUGGGCAAUUAUCCUUGACCUGAUUUGCACUAAUUAGAAAAUGAAUGGUACAUAGAAUGGCUGCAUGAGAGUUGAUCUCUUUCUGCUAUGAACCAGCUCCCUGGGUGGGGCAGGAAGACUUCCCAAUUCCCAGAGAAAACAGAUUGGUCAUACCAGGAGCUGGUCUCUGUAGUAGCAAGUCACUCUCAGUAUGACAGGACAUUGUGAGUUUUGACAUAGAAUGGGAGAAGAAUAAUUAACAAAACAUUCAUUUACUUUGUUUUUGUUGUAUGGUGCAACCCUAACAUUGAGACCAGUUGCCAUGGAAAUAUAGGAAAGGAUAUAAAUAUAGAUCAGACAGAUAUGAAUUUAAAGAGAUAUAAAAGCCCACAGAAGGAAUAAGUGUUCCUUUUUUAGAAUGGAGAACUUCUCAUUUCCUUUUGAUUUGAGCCAUCAUUCCUGAAUGCAACGCACUUGUUCUAGUAUAAAAUUUUAGUGAAGUGGAGGUAAGGAAAAAAUAAAGAAAAACCACCAGAGAAGCAUUUUUAAAAUUUCUUCAACUUUCAUCUUCAGGAUGGUCUGUGAAUGGUUACCGCCAUCUUAUCCCGUUGCCUUAAUAAACUGUACUCACCGGUUUCAUGUUCUGAUGAGAUAAUGCUUUUUAUAAAGGGCUAUGGCUUGGCUAUGAGAUAAAGUGGUGAAUGACUUACGUAGAGAUACGUUAUCUCCAACUGUGACUUGCUUGUAACUUGCUGUGCAUAGAUAUCUCGAUUGUUCUAGGACUGCCAUAUGUGUUGCAUGUACUGAAGAAACAACAACUCUUGAAACCACUCAAUAAAUGACACAGUGUGUUCAUCAUGAA
rnacentral:lncRNA from 1 species